GGCUGUCAAACAUAUGGCCGGCAGUGGCCAGAAUUAGUCUCGUAGCAAAGCUGGCUGUUCCCCUAAGCAGCUCUCAGACAGCAGUGCAGAGUAGUAAGAGAGGACACCGGCGGCUAACACAAUGGACCUGCAGGUAUUAAUGAGGGGUGGUGGGCUGCUAUGUCUAGAGGCUAAAUAGAGGGACUGGUGGGGGAAUCAGAUUGCA